UACGGAGGGUGCAAGCGUUAUCCGGAAUCACUGGGCGUAAAGGGCGCGUAGGCGGCCUGUUAAGUCCGAUGUUAAAGACUGGGGCUCAACCCCAGCAUUGCGUUGGAUACUGGCAGGCUUGACGGUUGGAGAGGCGAGUGGAAUUACCAGUGUAGCGGUGAAAUGCGUAGAUACUGGUAGGAACACCCAUUGCGAAGGCAGCUCGCUGGACAACACGUGACGCUGAGGCGCGAAAGUGUGGGGAGCAAACCGGAUUAGAUACCCCCGUA
rnacentral:rRNA from 1 species